AUAAAUCUUUUUGUGAUGUUACAGCUGCUAAGGUUGUAAUUCUACAGAACCAGCACAUCACAGACUCCCUCUGAAAUCACCAGCUAUUUCAGAGAAAGAAGAUGACAGAGAAGCUGGCCUACAGCUGGGAAUUUCAGAUCAGGCAGAAGAUGAUACUAGAGUGAUAACAGCAACAAUAACCAAGUACAGUCAUCUUUUUUGCAUCUAAAAAUUAAACCAUUCCCCAUAUUGGGAAAUUUCUCCUCUGCCUUUCCCAGCCUUUCCCAGCUACAGGGAGAACAAGGACCCACAGCUUCAAAGAAUACAUAGAGGAGCUACAGGAAACCAAG